GACGAACCGUGCGAACGUUAUUCGGAUUCACUGGGCUUAAAGGGCGCGUAGGCGGCCUCUCAAGUCGGGGGUGAAAUCUUUCAGCUCAACUGGAAAAUAGCCUCCGAUACUGAUUGGCUUGAGGGGGAUAGGGGUGCGCGGAACGUUCCGGUGGAGCGGUGAAAUGCGUAGAUAUCGGAAGGAACGCCGGCGGCGAAAGCGGCGCACUGGAUCCUCACUGACGCUGAGGCGCGAAAGCCAGGGGAGCGAACGGG
rnacentral:rRNA from 1 species